AUUGAACGCUGGCGGCAUGCUUUACACAUGCAAGUCGAACGGCAGCACGGGGGCAACCCUGGUGGCGAGUGGCGAACGGGUGAGUAAUACAUCGGAACGUGCCCAGUAAUGGGGGAUAGCCCGGCGAAAGCCGGAUUAAUACCGCAUACGCCCUGAGGGGGAAAGCGGGGGACCGAAAGGCCUCGCGUUAUUGGAGCGGCCGAUGGCUGAUUAGCUAGUUGGUAGGGUAAAGGCCUACCAAGGCGACGAUCAGUAGCUGGUCUGAGAGGACGACCAGCCACACUGGGACUGAGACACGGCCCAGACUCCUACGGGAGGCAGCAGUGGGGAAUUUUGGACAAUGGGCGAAAGCCUGAUUCAGCCAUGCCGCGUGCAGGAUGAAGGCCUUCGGGUUGUAAACUGCUUUUGUACGGAACGAAAAGGUUUGGCCUAAUAAGCUGAGCUCAUGACGGUACCGUAAGAAUAAGCACCGGCUAACUACGUGCCAGCCGCCGCCGUAA
rnacentral:rRNA from 1 species